UACGUAGGGUGCAAGCGUUGUCCGGAUUUAUUGGGCGUAAAGAGCGUGUAGGCGGUUCGGUAGGUCCGUUGUGAAAACUCGAGGCUCAACCUCGAGACGCCGAUGGAAACCCUCGAACUAGAGUCCGGAAGAGGAGAAUGGAAUUCCUGGUGUAGCGGUGAAAUGCGCAGAUAUCAGGAAGAACACCCGUGGCUAAGGCGGUUCUCUAGUACGGUACUGACGCUGAGACGCGAAAGCGUGGGGAGCGAACAGG
rnacentral:rRNA from 1 species